GACGAACGCUGGCGGCGUGCCUAAUACAUGCAAGUAGAACGCACAGUCUAUGCCGUAGCUUGCUACACCAUAGGCUGUCAGGUGAGAAACACGGGGUUACGCGUAGCUAAACUGCGUGGUAGCGGUGGUUAACUAGUUGAAAUGAUAGCUAGUACAGCGUAUUAUAUAUUAUUGUAUGAUGAUUUUCUGAAUGGUGCAAUUGCACCACUACCCGACGUAUUUGCGUUGUAUUAGCUAGUAGGUGAGGUAACGGCUCACCUAGGCGACGAUACAUAGCCGACCUGAGAGGGUGAGCGGCCACACUGGGACUGUGACACGGCCCAGACGCCUACGGGAGGCAGCAGUAGGGAAUCUUCGGCAAGAGGCGAAAGACAGACCGAGCAACGCGGCGGGAGUGAAGAAGGAUGUCGGAUCGGAAAGCUCGGUCGUAAGGUAAGAACGGGUGUGAGAGUGGAAAGUUCACACUGUGACGGUAGCUUACCAGAAAGGGACGGCUAACUACGUG
rnacentral:rRNA from 1 species